GGGAUAUAGCUCAGCAGCAUAAGCACCUGCCUGGCAAGCAUGAGGUCAUGAGUUCGAUUCUCAGUACCCA
rnacentral:tRNA from 1 species